CCACCCUGAUGUGCUUGACGUUCUAACCUGGGCCCGUUAUCCGGGCCGGGGACCAUGUAUGGUGGGUAGUUUGACUGGGGCGGUCUCCUCCCAAAGAGUAACGGAGGAGCACGAAGGUACGCUCAGCGCGGUCGGACAUCGCGCACUGUGUGCAAAGGCAUAAGCGUGCUUGACUGCAAGAUCGACGGAUCAAGCAGGUACGAAAGUAGGUCUUAGUGAUCCGGUGGUUCUGUAUGGAAGGGCCAUCGCUCAACGGAUAAAAGGUACUCCGGGGAUAACAGGCUGAUACCGCCCAAGAGUUCAUAUCGACGGCGGUGUUUGGCACCUCGAUGUCGGCUCAUCACAUCCUGGGGCUGUAGUCGGUCCCAAGGGUAUGGCUGUUCGCCAUUUAAAGUGGUACGCGAGCUGGGUUCAGAACGUCGUGAGACAGUUCGGUCCCUAUCUGUCGUGGGCGUUGGAGAUUUGAGAGGGGCUGCUCCUAGUACGAGAGGACCGGAGUGGACGACCCCCUGGUGUUCCGGUUGUCAUGCCAAUGGCAUUGCCGGGUAGCUAUGGUCGGAAACGAUAACCGCUGAAAGCAUCUAAGCGGGAAGCGCGCCUCAAGAUGAGAUCUCCCGGGACACAAGUCCCCUAAAGGAACGAUGAAGACCACGUCGUUGAUAGGUCAGGUGUGUAAGCGCAGCAAUGCGUUGAGCUAACUGAUACUAAUGAUCCGUGCGGCUUGAUCAU
rnacentral:ncRNA from 1 species